AGUCGUGAUACCUUACCUUCUUCGAUAUUCUAUAAUCUCAAUUGUUUAUAUUCGCGACUGCUACUGAUCGCGGGCAUUUUCCAACAAGAGAUAUGGAAGGACGUUUUAUUAACAAACAACAAGGAUGAAAUGAUCACAGUGUUACACUGCGUCAACGGUGUCUCUUGUUGGAAAACGCCUCACGUCUCGUCUUCUAAUUUCAUCAUCCAUUUCUCGAGAUCGCCGAUAUAAACCAUGGCGUCGAUCGUGCCGACAGUACUGCGAUUUAAUCGUGUGACGAUAAAGAAUUUGUCAGAUCAGAUUAAUCAAAAUGGAUUACGCAGUGGCAAGCAAUUAAAAAUGGUUCGUCAAAAUAGAAAUUCAAAAUUUUCGGAAAUUUCCGCAGUUUUGCAGCACAAGUCAAGAAGGUAACAGGAAGAUUAUUAUAUGUACCUUCUGCAUUUUCCUGGCAAAGGCAGUAUUUCAAUACAAUAAUAGAACAGAAGAAACCAGAUGACACUAAUGUAUCUUCCAUGCAAAAAUCUAAAGAAAUUAAGAAUAGAAUUCCAAUUCAUCAAUAAAGGACUUAUUAAAGAGCGUAAUGACUUUCUUAAGGAAUUCCAACAUCAACUUAAGAGAGCAUUAGCAGAAAUCGAGCUCCUCAAGAAAAAAUAUCCCGAACCAAAUGACACUAAUAUCUGCCAUAAAUCUGCCAUAGAAGCUACAGAAGAUCUACGGAAAUUAGGAAUAGAAGUAGAUCUCAUCAAAAUAGAAUUUGCUAAAUUGUUUGCUAAAGAGCGUAAGCUGUGUGGAUACAUACUCAUAAAUAAAUAUACAGCCAAAAUA